UCAAGGUUGACCUCGGAUCAGGUAGGGAUACCCGCUGAACUUAAGCAUAUCAAUAAGCGGA
rnacentral:rRNA from 1 species